rnacentral:rRNA from 1 species
CCUACGGGUGGCAGCAGUGGGGAAUAUUGGGCAAUGGGCGCAAGCCUGACCCAGCAACGCCGCGUGAAGGAAGAAGGCUUUCGGGUUGUAAACUUCUUUUCUCAGGGACGAAGCAAGUGACGGUACCUGAGGAAUAAGCCACGGCUAAAUACGUGCCAGCAGCCGCGGUAAUACGUAGGUGGCAAGCGUUAUCCGGAUUUACUGGGGGUAAAGGGCGUGUAGGCGGGACUGCAAGUCAGAUGUGAAAACCAUGGGCUCAACCUAUGGCCUGCAGUUGAAACUGUAGUUCUUGAGUACGCGAGAGGCAGACGGAAUUCCUAGUGUAGCGGUGAAAUGCGUAGAUAUUAGGCGGAACACCAGUGGCGAAGGCGGUCUGCUGGACAGCAACUGACGCUCAGGCGCGAAAGCGUGGGGAGCAAACAGGAUUAGAUACCCUUGUAGUC